rnacentral:rRNA from 1 species
GUGCCAGCCGCCGCGGUAAUACGGAAGGUCCGGGCGUUAUCCGGAUUUAUUGGGUUUAAAGGGAGCGUAGGCGGUAUUUUAAGCGUGUUGUGAAAUGUAGAUGCUCAACAUCUGAAUUGCAGCGCGAACUGGAGUACUUGAGUGCGCAGGAAGUUGGCGGAAUUCGUCGUGUAGCGGUGAAAUGCUUAGAUAUGACGAAGAACUCCGAUUGCGAAGGCAGCUGACUCGUAGCUCUAACUCGACGCUGAAGCUCGAAAGUUGCGGGUAUCGAACAGGAUUAGAUACCCUGGUAGUCCGCACGGUAAACGAUGGAUGCUCGCUGUUCGGCCUUCGGGUUGAGCGGCUAACGGAAACCAUUAAGCAUCCCACCUGGGGAGUACGCCGGCAACGGUGAAACUCAAAGGAAUUGACGGGGGCCCGCACAAGCGGAGGAACAUGUGGUUUAAUUCGAUGAUACGCGAGGAACCUUACCCGGGCUUGAACUUGCAGGUGAACGAUACAGAGAUGUUGAGGUCCUUCGGGACACCUGUGGAGGUGCUGCAUGGUUGUCGUCAGCUCGUGCCGUGAGGUGUCGGCUUAAGUGCCAUAACGAGCGCAACCCCUGUCCUUAGUUGCCAUCACUUCGGGUGGGCACUCUGGGGAUACUGCCACCGUAAGGUGUGAGGAAGGUGGGGAUGACGUCAAAUCAGCACGGCCCCUUACGUCCGGGGCUACACACGUGUUACAAUGGCGUGUACAGAGAGUUGGUACUGGGCAAUCAGUAUCUAUCAAUAAAACACGUCUCAGUUCGGAUUGGGGUCUGCAACCCGACCCCAUGAAGCUGGAUUCGCUAGUAAUCGCGCAUCAGCCAUGGCGCGGUGAAUACGUUCCCGGGCCUUGUACACACCGCCCGU